AUUAUAUAUCAAAUAAUAUAUAUUAUAUAAGGGUAUACUGUAUUAUAAUAUAAUAUAAUAUAAUAUAAUAAUUUGAUAUAAUACAGGCCUACCUAAAACUGUUCUUUGUACGCUUCUGCACACGCAGUUCGAUGUCACUCCUGAGCACCUGAGCACUCCUAACAAAUUCGAGACAGGCUCUCCUGCAGAAUCCCUGAACUCAGCGAGACCUCCAGCUUGUAGGGAGCCACCUGUCCCCAAAUGCACGGUCACAACAGCCUCCUUAUUUCCAUAUCCAGAAGCACCUCGUUUCGGCACUUUCUCAUUUCCUACAGCACAUUGCGUUGAAUGUGUUUGUAUUAAACACUCUCUUACUGUCACGCCCUCCGCCUCCACGCAACGGGGAACGCCUGCGGCGGAUCACGGGACGCCCGCAUAAGGGGAGCUGAGAGCGCAGCAAGACGCGGAACCUCCGUUCAGCCUUGCUUCUCGCUCGUGUGCCUAAAUCUAGUGUCCCGCUUACCCCGGUCUCCCUUUCCUUGUCCUUGUCCUUGUCCUUGUUCCCGAACCCUUCUCCCGUAUCUCUAAGUCCUCCUGGUAUCUCUCAGACCUCCAGCCUGCCUUUUCGGAUUACGCCUCUCGGAUUCUCCUUCUGCCCACGUUCGCGCCUCGGCGACCCCUCGCCUGGUUUUUUUUGGACGACGACUUUGGACCUCCCUUCAUAAAGCACCCUGAGCUCCGCACUUGGGUCUGGCGUCUGCGCUCCAGAAAGAAAGCAUGACACUCACAAAAAAAAUUU
rnacentral:lncRNA from 1 species